UACGAUAUCUACGUUUUCCGUAUUGAAUGGGUAAACCUGGAACAUAGAAAUGGAAAAUUUUCAGUCAUUUCCCCAGUUUCAUUCGAAACGGUAAUGAGGCUAUUAAACAUUUUUUUAUGCCAAGUGAUGACUUUGUAUUUGUUAAUAAUGGUGCCACUAAUAUGGCAAUAAGACGAACAUAAAUAGGUGUCGUUACAGCUUAAAAAAAAUGCAAAAGCAGUUGUUCCUCAGCAGACCGUAACCGCUGUCUAAUAUAAAAGGUUCUCAGGUGGAUCCGAACUUAAUUAUUAUAAAUAAGGCAUAUGUUACUUCAACUUCUUUACCACCAGCUGUAAUUUUAAUUUUCAUUUUGGUUUUAUUGUUAAUCCUUUUAUCUAUUUAAUUAUGUAAACUAUUCUUAAGGUCAAUCAUCGUAAAAAUAACCUAUGGUUGUAUGUUUGACUUAAUACUAAAUAAAUGAAUAAAUAUGCAAUGAG